GAUGAAGAACGUAGCGAAAUGCGAUAAGUAGUGUGAAUUGCAGAAUUCAGUGAAUCAUCGAAUCUUUGAACGCACAUUGCGCCCCUUGGUAUCCCGAGGGGCAUGCCUGUUCGAGCGUCAUUUCACCACUCAAGCCUGGCUUGGUGUUGGGCGACGUCCCCUUUGGGGACGCGCCUCGAAACGCUCGGCGGCGUGGCACCGGCUUUAAGCGUAGCAGAAUCUUUCGCUUUGGAAGUCGGGGCCCCGUCUGCCGGAAGACCUACUCGCAAGGUUGACCUCGGAUCAGGCAGGGAUACCCGCUGAACUUAAGCAUAUCAAUAAGCUGAGGA
rnacentral:misc_RNA from 1 species